rnacentral:rRNA from 1 species
UACGUAGGGGGCAAGCGUUGUCCGGAUUUAUUGGGCGUAAAGAGCGUGUAGGCGGCCAAAUAGGUCGGUUGUGAAAACUGGAGGCUUAACCUCCAGACGUCGACCGAAACCAUCUGGCUAGAGUCCGGAAGAGGAGAGUGGAAUUCCUGGUGUAGCGGUGAAAUGCGCAGAUAUCAGGAGGAACACCAGCAGCGAAGGCGGCGCUCUGGGCUGGAACUGACGCUGAGGAGCGAAAGCGUGGGUAGCAAACAGG